GAGAAAGAUUACGAGGAUCUGUGGAAGGAAUACAACAAAGAAUUGCUUGGAGAACCUUUCCUUCCCUCAAAAUUCAAGGUAAAAGACAACACUGCAUUCUCCAUGUCACCCGAGUUCCAGAUAGUGGUAGCCCAGAAGAAAGCUGAAGUUGGAGAGUGUUUAUCGAAGAUAGGUGAAGAACACUCGGAGGAUAACUGUCUUGUCUAUCAGUCACCUAUGUCUGAGGAAAUAGAUCUGGAAGUGGAAGCUGACAUUGAAGAAUGAUGAUAAAUCACUCUACACUCGACUGUCACGUGACUUUUUAAACACGUUCUGUAGCUGGCCGUGAAUGGCUAUUCGAAAUCCUAGCCCUCUAAUGACUAAUCUGAUCCCAACCCUAACCCUAACCAAAUCUUUAACAAAAGCAUAUGCUGAAACCCUAACUCUAACGAGAAAUUAGACAAACUUUCUUAUUAUACGCUCAUAUAUCGCCAGGGGAGCAUUUUGACCCUAUAUCAUGGGGUCAUGGGGGUGAUUCGGAAUCAGCCUCCAAAAAUACAUCGAUUCAGGUUGGUCUCAACUGUCGGGGGCCCUUUUAGAAGUAUCUCGAAGAUCGACUGUAGAGUGACUAAGCACGUUCGGACAUUGGACUUAAAACAAUGUAAUUUGAAGCAUUUGAAACCACUUAUAAGAUACAUAUUUAUUAAAAUAUGUAGUAAGAUAGAAGAACACGGGGCUAUUUAGACGAACCCCUUGAUGAAUGAUGAUGAUCAAUUUCUGUAUUUUAUCGCCAGACUGUCCCGUCCCCCGAAGUAAGGGUUCGAGCAUAUUUUGAGCCAUAUGUCGUGGUAUGUAUUACAGCCAUGUAUAAAAUUAUCAUAUGCAUGAUCUACAUUCUACAUUCUACAUUACCCAUUUAUAGUUUACACAUUAGUCAUGUUUACUUUGUUCAUGUUGCAAUAUUAAAAUGAUUUGAUGUGUUCAUUUCUAUGUUUAUCGACAAA